ACCAGUUCAGAGCACCCACCGACAAGUAAAAGGAAAAAAAAUGUAAGGAAGCAAAGCCCCGACCUCCUCGCCAUGGAACCCUAGCGUAGGGUACCUCCGCCGUCACCCCUUACCAUCUUGCCCCCCGCCGUUGCCGCCCUCCCGACGCAUCUCGGUGGAAGGCCUCUCCAGUACCUUGCUCGCCGUCGUAAGCCGGAGCAGGGAGCACGGCGCGUACACACACAGCACAUAGCAUCACCGUGCGCGAGGAAGUAAAGACAACCACCGCGAGGAAAGAGGAGAGGGCGACCAACUUCUCCAGGUUCACCUGAACGACGCCGCCGUGGCCGAGCUCGGCCUUGGAAUCUGCAAAGGUGAGGUUGAGGCGAAGAUUACCUUGCCCGGAGCGGAGAGUGAGGAGGCUGGGAGGAAGAAGGAGACCAUGGAGCUGUUCCCGCAGAGCGCGAGCUUGGAUGGUGUGCAGGACGCAGCUACCGCUGAUGGCUACUCCGCGCCAGGCAAACAUCAAUGGUUCAGACUGGAUCAACAACAUACCAAUGAAGUACUCAGCUUUCGGCAAAGUCGAGCGUCCGAGUUACAGAUGAUUAAUUCACAUGAAGAUCAAAGAUAGAUAUUGUUUUAACUGCAGCGCAUAGGCCGCCGCCUCGACAUAAUCGUCUUCCGUGAAAGUGCAGGAGGAUGGGCAGAAAGAGUGCGCUUGAGGAGAAGCGCCCAUGGCGUCGGACAUGGCGUGCAUACUCGAUGUGUUGGAUGUGGUCACGAAAAAAAGGGUGGCAGAAACCGGAGGAUGAGAGGGCGAGCUAACAAUAAGGCAUGGAGAUGCACUAUUCUCCUGAGAAUUCCAACAAAGGUUCCCUGGCUACAUGGACAUGCACUAUUCUGAGUUGGUGACUACAAUUAAGCAACAUAUGUCUCAUAUGGGAUUCCUCAAAAAAGAAAAGCCUGAACCAGGUAUAAUUAUGAAGAUAGCUGGGGCAUCUCUACUUUUUUUUGCCGGUAAUUGUCUUAACCAAUAGGUUUGGGAAAGGGAGUGACGAGAGAAUCAGAAUAGAGAGUUACUUUUUUAUCUACUUCGUCUGUUAACUGAAAGUUGUAAGAUUUUAUUUAGAUAGCAGCGUCGAGGAUUUCUUGCACACCCGCUAUGGACUUCGGUGCGAUAAAUUAGCACCUCCUGAAUAACCUAUAAUAUUUGCAUCAAAUAGUUAUUUCUAAUUUUUAAAUCUUCA